rnacentral:lncRNA from 1 species
ACUUGCCUGAGAUCACACAGUCUCGUGUGUGGCAGAGCCUUGGAUUCCAAGCCAGGCUGUCUGAUCCCAGAUCUUCACAGCUGGCCUGCACCUCCACGGCACCCCGGACUUCCCCCUGGAGCACUGGCCAGUGAAACAAACAUGCCCUGGAGAAAUGCCUGGAUAGCAAAAGCAUUCCUACACAUUGAGGCCUGCCAGCGUGGGUGUCACCCAGGAGCCACUCGGAAAGGUUCAUCGGAAACCACCCCGGACCGACUGAGGCAGAAUCUCUGGGGGCGGGACCCAGGCCUCAGCAUAAAAACUCCAGGUGACGAAACAGCUCCCACCUAACAGGUGUGUUGACAUUGUUGUAGGUGACUGACGUAGUUUCCCAUCUCACAACUCUACCUCCACUAAGAAAAGUCAUGGAAAAUUGAGACGUUGGGCUGAGUGUGGCUCAUCCCUGUAAUCAUUAGUGCUUUGGGAGGCUGAGGUGGGAGGAUUGCUUGAGGCCAGGAAUUUGAAGUCAGCCUGAGCAACAUAGUGUCUCUUCAAAAAACUAAGUUUAUUCUUUCCUCUUUUUUAGUUUUUAUUUUUAUUUUACACAGUUCACCGCGGCCUUGACCUCCCACGCUCAAGCAAUCCUCCUAUCUCAACUUCUCAAGUAUCUGGGAGCACAGGCAUGCACCACCACACCUGCUAAUUUUUUUCUUCUUUGUUUUAAAGAGACAGAGUGUCACCAUGUUGCCCAGGCCCUGUUGACCAGGGAAAAAAAAAAGUUUGUUUGUUUGUUUGUUUCUUUAAGAAAAAGAAAGAAAAGAGACUGAGAAACCACAGAAAGAAAGAAGUGCUGAUGACAAUGCCUGCUUGCUGAUGGUUCUGAUGAUCAUAGCAGCAUACAUUUUGUAUGCGUGAAGCCUGUGGCUAUAUAAACGUGUAGGGAAAUAUUUGUAAGGAAAUAAGCAAUUAAUAAAAUAAGCUAAAAUCACAGUUGCUGGACUAUGACUGAUUUUUCCCCUUUCUG